AUAUUUUUGUAAACUUAAAGGGAAAUUUCCCUGCUGCUCUAUUUCACCAUAUGUCCAUUUAAUAUGUUAUUAACAUAUCAUGUGUGUCAUAAAAAUUGCAACACGCAAAUACGAGCGUUUCUGCAUCUCACUAGUUUUAACAGGGCGUCUACAUGUUCUGGUUGUUAGCAAACCACAAUAUCCAGAGUUCGUAGCGAUUUCAGGACGUGCAGAAAUAUCAAAAUGUCUGUGUUUGUAGCCAGCACUUCCAGCCAGAGGAUUUCGAAACUGAUGGGGUUGCCAGGUGGUCGAACGUUAAAGUGAUGCUUUUCCAUUGACUUUCCCCUUCACUUCAAAGAAGGCAUGCGAUCAGCCAACAUCAGUGCAGCAGAAAAGAAGUCAAGCUGAGAGCCCGAUCCCACCUGCAGCAGCAUCAACAUCAAGCUCAGCACCAGGAACUAUUGCUAACCCUGCUACUGAUGACGAUGAACUUAACACCAGCUUUAGUAGUACAGAGCCCGUAGACCCAUUGGAUGAAAGCUUUCAGCCGGGAACAAGCUCAACAUCAUCUGACUCGGAAACAAGCCAGGACGGCCAAAGGCAUUUAUGAAAGCACAAAUACCCUCUUGAGAAAACAAAAUCACCAAUACACUAAACUGUCUACCAGCCAAGUGCUCCUCAAACUUGUCACACCCUUGUAGUCAGUUCUUUGAGAGGGGUUGCUAGUUUACUCUUCUAGCCUAUUCACUCCAUUGUUGGCAGUGCUUGUCUACUCAACAGCACAACUGUAUACUUGUCUACUCAUACACAACAAUACACAACUAGACUGUCUACAUGUCAAGCCCCCCUCAAACAUUUCACAUCUGUUAGUACCCAUCUCAAAGCCCCAUUAUUUGAGUGUAACAACACAUACCAGUCUACUGUUCCAUGUUUUGUUUACAGAUUAACAUGGUUUAUUUUAUGAUUAUACAUCCUCAUGAUCAGUCGUCAUGUCUUUCCAGGAUACUUACAGUACAAACAAUUAUCUGCAAGAGGUCAAAGAUGUGGGUGGUGAAGAAAGUGCACAAGCCCAGAACCCACCACUUCAGGGAGACGCUUAUCCACCUGGUUGUGGAGUGCAGAAAAUAACAGACUGUUGUCAACAAGCAGCCAGACUCACAGCUCCCCAAACCCUGCCAACAUUGCCACAGCGCCAAAGCUUGCUAAACCAGCUGACAUUACCCAACAGUAGAAGAGGUGCACCAGCUGAAGAACAUUCUGGAACCUGUCUGGAACAUUCAACCAACACCCAUAUUCAGUUAGACUGAUGUUUUAGUAUAAUAUAGAAUACCUAGUAUGUUCACAACUGCAUUGUGGUAUAGAUGUUGCUGCCUAUCAAAAGUUUGUACACACCUACUCAUUUUCUACAUUGUAGAAUAAUUGUGAAGACAUAAACUAUGAAAUAACACAUAUGGAAUCAUGUAGUAACCAAAAAAGUGUUUAAAAAAAUCUAAAUAUAUUUGAGAUUCUUCAAAGUAGCCACCCGUUGGCCUUGAUGACAGCUUUGCACACUCUUGGCAUUCUCUCAACCAGCUUCAUGAGGUAGUCAUCUGGAAUGCAUUUCAAUUAACAGGUGUGCCUUGUUAAAAGUUAAUUUAUGGAAUUUCUUUCUUAAUGCGUUUGAGCCAAUCAGUUUGCAGCCCAAAUAAAUGCUUCCCAGAGUUCAAGUAACAGACACAUCUCAACAUCAACUGUUCAGAGGAGACUGCGUGAAUUAGGCCUUUAUGGUCGAAUUGCUGCAAAGAAACCAGUACUAAAGGACACCAAUAAGUAGAAGAUACUUGUUUGGGCCAAGAAACACAAGCAAUGGAAAUUAGACCGAUGGAGAUCUGUUUCUUUGGUCUGAUUUGAGUCCAGAUUUGAGAUGGUUUGUUCCAACCUCUGUGUCUUUGUGAGAUGAAGAGUAGGUGAACGGAUAAUCUCUGCAUGUGCGGUUCCCACCGUGAAGCAUGGAGGAGGUGUGGUGGUGCUUUGCUGGUGACACGGUCUGUGAUUUAUUUAGAAUUCAAGGCACACCUAACCAGCAUGGCUACCACAGUAUUUUGCAGCGAUAUGUCAUUCCAUCUGGUUUGCUUAGUGGGACUAUCAUUUGUUUUUCAACAGGACAAUGACCCAACACACCUUCAGGCUGUGUAAGGGUAUUUGACCAAGAAGGAGAGCUGUAUCAGAUGACCUGGCCUCCACAAUCACCCGACCUCAACCCAAUUGAGAUGAUUUGGGAUGAGUUGGACCGCAGAGUUAAGGAAAAGCAGCCAACAAGUGCUCAGCAUAUGUGGGAACUCCUUCAAGACUGUUGGAAAAACACUCCUCAUGAAGCUGGUUGAGAGAAGGCUAAGAGUGUGCAAAGCUGCUUUCAAGGCAAAGGGUGGCUAAUUUGAAGAAUCCAAAAUAUAUUUUGAUAUGUUGAACACUUUUUUUUUUACAUGAUUCCGUAUGUGUUAUUUAAUUUUUUCAUUCAAGAAAAACCCUUGAGCGAGUAGGUGUGUCCAACAUUUUGACUGGUACUGUGUAUAAUUUUAUAGUUUUAUAUUAUAUCCUUUACAAGUGUACUGACAAGUGACUAAAUGAUUCCCGCUGCAUCAGAAACCAAUAGUGUUGACUUCAACUUCUGGAUCAAUGCAUUGUGAUAUUCAUGAAAUGUAUUUGGAUAAACUAGUGUUGUGACGUUGC